AUUGAACGCUGGCGGCAUGCUUUACACAUGCAAGUCGAACGGCAGCACGGGUGCUUGCACCUGGUGGCGAGUGGCGAACGGGUGAGUAAUGUAUCGGAACGUAUCCGGAAAUGGGGGAUAACGUAGCGAAAGUUACGCUAAUACCGCAUAUGCCCUGAGGGGGAAAGGUGGGGAUCGCAAGACCUAUCGUUUUCGGAGCGGCCGAUAUCAGAUUAGCUAGUUGGUGGGGUAAAGGCCCACCAAGGCGACGAUCUGUAGCUGGUCUGAGAGGACGACCAGCCACACUGGGACUGAGACACGGCCCAGACUCCUACGGGAGGCAGCAGUGGGGAAUUUUGGACAAUGGGGGCAACCCUGAUCCAGCCAUGCCGCGUGAGUGAAGAAGGCCUUCGGGUUGUAAAGCUCUUUCGGACAGAAAGAAAUCGCCACUUCUAAUAAAGGUGGUGGAUGACGGUACUGUAAGAAGAAGCACCGGCUAACUACGUGCCAGCCGCCGCGGUAA
rnacentral:rRNA from 1 species